AACGCGAAGAACCUUACCUGGGCUCGAAAUGUAGAGGGCGACAUUAGAGAUAAUGUUUCUCGAAAGAGCUUCUAUAUAGGUGCUGCAUGGCUGUCGUCAGCUCGUGCCGUGAGGUGUUUGGUUAAGUCCAGCAACGAGCGCAACCCUUAUCGUUAGUUGCCAGCGCGUAAUGGCGGGAACUCUAACGAGACUGCCUGGGUUAACCAGGAGGAAGGUGAGGAUGACGUCAAGUCCGCAUGGCCUUUAUGUCCAGGGCUACACACGUGCUACAAUGGUCGAUACAGAAGGCAGCGAAACCGUGAGGCGGAGCAAAUCCUGUAAAGUCGAUCUCAGUUCAGAUUGCAGACUGCAACUCGUCUGCAUGAAGUUGGAAUUGCUAGUAAUGGCGUGUCAGCAACAACGCCGUGAAUACGUUCCCGGGCCUUGUACACACCGAGUAUA
rnacentral:rRNA from 1 species